ensembl:lncRNA
GGGGUUGUGACCCCUCCCCAUGGGUCCAUUGCCCAGGGCAUUGUGGGAGAUGUGCUGGCAGAGGGCAUGCUGGGAGCUGUAGUCUGGGAGUGGACUUCCCCCAGGGCAUGCUGGGAGUUGUAGUCCAGGGACAGGCUUUCCCCAGGGCAUGCUGGGAAUUGUAGUCUGGGGGGCUCCCCCUAGGGCAUGCUGGGAGUUGUAGUCUGGGAACAGGCCUUUCCCAGGGCAUGCUGGGAGUUGUAGUCCCUUGAGCACGGCUGCUCCCAGCAUGCACUGCAGUGCUCCCAGCCGUGGGGACCCUGCGGAUGUCCCUGUCCUCACCCCCCACAGGGCCAGGGUGGCCUUGGGGACCCGAGAGACAUCUCUGGCAGGAGAAGGUGGCCGUUGGGGAUGCUGCUGAUGUCCCCAGCAGGGCCAUGGUGGCCUCAGGGACAUCAGUGACAUCCCUGGCAGGGCCAUGGUGGUCUCGGGGACAUCCCUAGCAGGGCCAUGAUGUCCUUGGGGACAUCGGUGACAUCCCCAGCAGAGCCAUGGUGGUCUCAGGGACAUCUCCAGCAGGUCCAUGGUGGCCUUGGGGACAUCAGUGACAUCCCUGGCAGGGCCAUGGUGGUCUCAGGGACAUCCCUAGCAGGGCCGUGUGGCCUUGGGGACAUCAGUAACAGUCCCAGCAGGGCCGUGAUGGCCUUGGGGACAUCCCCAGCAGGGCCAUGGUGGCCUCAGGAUCAUCAGUGACAUCCCCACCAGGUCCAUGAUGUCCUUGGGGACAUCGGUGACAUCCCCGGCAGAGCCAUGGUGGCCUCAGGGACAUCCCUGGCAGAGCCAUGGUGGUCUUGGAGUCAUCAGUGACAUCCCCAGCAGGGCCAUGGUGGCCUUGGGGACAUCAGUGACAUCCCCAGCAGAGCCAUGGUGGUCUCGUGGACAUCCCCAGCGGGGCCAUGAUGGCCUCGGGGACAUCAGUAACGUCCCCAGUAGAGCCAUGAUGUCCUUGGGGACGUUGGUGACAACCCUGGCAGAGCCACGGUGGUCUCGGGGACAUCCCCAGCAGGGCCAUGGUGGCCUCAGGGACAUCCCCAGCAGAGCCAUGAUGGCCUCGGGGACAUCAGUGACAUCCCUGUCAGAGCCAUGGUGGCCUGGGGGACAUCCCCGGCAGGGCCGGGGCGGCCCCGGGGACCCCGGUGACGUCCCCGUCCCCUCCGUGUGCCCAGGCCGACCAGAUGAACCGCAUCGUGGAGGUGCUGGGGCUGCCGCCCCCCCACAUGCUGGAGCAGGCGCCCAAGGCCCGCAAGUACUUCGAGAAGCUGCCGGAAGGCGGCUGGGCCCUCAAGAGGAACAAGGAGACCAAGAAGGAGUACAAGGUGCCGGGGACGCGGCGGCUGCACGAGGUGCUGGGGGUGGAGAGCGGUGGCCCGGGCGGCCGGCGGGCCGGCGAGCAGGGCCACGCGCCUUCCGACUACCUGAAGUUCAAGGACCUGGUGCUGCGGAUGCUGGACUACGAGCCGCGGAGCCGCAUCACGCCCUUCUACGCCCUGCAGCACAACUUCUUCAAGAAGACGAGCGACGAGGGCACCAACACCAGCAACAGCACCUCCACCAGCCCCGCCAUGGAGCACAGCCACAGCACCAGCACCACCAGCUCCGUCUCCAGCUCGGGUACGGUGACCGCCGUGGCUCGUCGCGGGUCCUGGUCGUGGUGUACGGGUUUCUGCCUUCUCUGUUUCUGUCCUACCAGCUCCACGUUGUGCUUGGUGAUGGCUCCUGGGCCACCACGGUGCCUGGUCUUGUCUUUUCCCCGUCUCUGUCCAACCAGCUCCAUGUUGUGCUUGGUGAUGGUUCCUGGGCCACCACGGUGCCUGGUCUUGUCCCUUCCCUACAUUUGUCCUACCAGCUCCAUGUCGUGCUUGGUGAUGGUUCCUGGGCCACCACGGUGCCUGGUCUUGUCUCUUCCCUGUCUUUGUCCAACCAGCUCCAUGUUGUGCUUGGUGACGGCUCCUGGGCCACCAUGGUGCCUGGUCUUGUUCCUUUUCUAUCUCUGUCCUACCAGCUCCAUGUUGUGCUUGGUGAUGGCUCCUGGGCCACCACGGUGCCUGGUCUUGUCCCUUCCCCGUCUCUGUCC